AUACCACAAGCUGGUCACAGUUCAGACCAAGCAGUGCAAGGCACAUCUGGGUGCCAGGCACAGUGGUGCCCCAUGGGGUGGCCCCACUCCUGGCCUGGCUCAUGCCUCCCGUGGGGGCAGCAGAGCAACUGGCUCAGGGCGGGAUGUGGUCAGACCUGGAGGCGGAGUGCUAUGGGUGCCACGCUCCUUCCCAGGCCCUCACCCCUCCUUCUCCACCCAGGAGUCGUUCACGCCUACUGAGGAGCAUGUGUUGGUGGUGCGCCUGCUGCUGAAGCACCUGCACGCCUUUGCCAACAGCCUGAAGCCAGAGCAGGCCUCACCCUCCGCCCACUCCCACGCCACCAGCCCCCUGGAGGAGUUCAAACGGGCUGCUGUCCCGAGGUUCGUCCAGCAGAAACUCUACCUCUUCUUGCAGCAUUGCUUUGGCCACUGGCCCCUGGACGCAUCGUUCAGAGCUGUCCUGGAGAUGUGGCUGAGCUACCUGCAGCCGUGGCGGUACGCGCCUGACAAGCAGGCUCCGGGCAGCGACUCCCAGCCCCGGUGUGUG
rnacentral:lncRNA from 1 species